rnacentral:rRNA from 1 species
GAUGAACGCUGGCGGCGUGCCUAAUACAUGCAAGUCGAGCGAACGGACGAGAAGCUUGCUUCUCUGAUGUUAGCGGCGGACGGGUGAGUAACACGUGGAUAACCUACCUAUAAGAAUGGGAUAACUUCGGGAAACCGUAGCUAAUACCGGAUAAUAUUUUGAACCGCAUGGUUCAACAGUGAAAGACGGUCUUGCUGUCACUUAUAGAUGGAUCCGCGCUGCAUUAGCUAGUUGGUAAGGUAACGGCUUACCAAGGCAACGAUGCAUAGCCGACCUGAGAGGGUGAUCGGCCACACUGGAACUGAGACACGGUCCAGACUCCUACGGGAGGCAGCAGUAGGGAAUCUUCCGCAAUGGGCGAAAGCCUGACGGAGCAACGCCGCGAGAGUGAUGAAGGUCUUCGGCUCGUAAAACUCUGCUAUUAGGGAAGAACAUAAGUGUAAGAAACUGUGCACAUCGUGACGGUACCUAAUCAGAAAGCCACGGCUAACUACGUG